rnacentral:rRNA from 1 species
AACGAACGCUGGCGGCAGGCUUAACACAUGCAAGUCGAACGCAUCCUUCGGGGUGAGUGGCAGACGGGUGAGUAACGCGUGGGAACGUGCCCUUCAGUUCGGGAUAACUCCGGGAAACCGGGGCUAAAACCGAAUACUCCGUCUCGGCGGCAUCGCUGAGCCGGGAAAAAAUUUUGAUGAAAGAUGGUCUCGCGGCCUAUCAGCUAGUUGGUGAGGUAAUGGCUCACCAAGGCAACGACGGGUAGCCGGCCUGAGAGGGCGACCGGCCACACUGGGACUGAGACACGGCCCAGACUCCUACGGGAGGCAGCAGUGGGGAAUAUUGGGCAAUGGGCGCAAGCCUGACCCAGCGACGCCGCGUGAGGGAUGAAGGCCUUCGGGUUGUAAACCUCUUUCAGUAGGGAAGAAGCGAAAGUGACGGUACCUAAAGAAGAAGCACCGGCUAACUAUGUGCCAGCCGCCGCGGUAA